UCCGAAUUGGUGUAGUGGCUAACAUUUGACGCUCUCACUUGUGAUGUACCGUCAAGCCCGGGGUUCGAUUCCCCGAUUCGGAG